rnacentral:rRNA from 1 species
UACGUAGGUGGCAAGCGUUGUCCGGAAUUAUUGGGCGUAAAGCGCGCGCAGGCGGUCCUUUAAGUUAGAUGUGAAAUCCCUGGGCUUAACCUAGGAACUGCAUCUAAGACUGUAUAGCUGGAGUGCAGUAGAGGGUAGUGGAAUUUCCGGUGUAGCGGUGAAAUGCGUAGAUAUCGGAAGGAACACCAGUGGCGAAGGCGGCUACCUGGACUGACACUGACGCUGAGGCGCGAGAGCGUGGGGAGCAAACAGG